AUCUCCCUUUAUGAAAGAGUAUGUAAAUGGGAUAACUGGCUUGUGGCAUCCAAGUGUUCAUAGCGACGAUACUUUUUGAUCCUUCGAUGUCGGCUCUUCCUACUAUACUGAAGCAGAAUUCAGUAAGCAUUAGAUUUUUUACCCACUAACAGGGAAUAAGACCUGGGGUUUGGACCAUCGUGAGAUGGGUUAGUUUUACCCUACUGAUGAAAUGUUGCUGCAAUAGUAAUUGAACUUCGUAUGGAAGGAACCGUUCAUUCGGAAAAUUGGUAUUUGAACUUGCUUAGGCAGGCAAGGGUCCGAGGCUAUCAUCCGUUGGGUUAUGGCUGAACGCCUCUAAGUCAGAACCCGUGCUAAAACGCGACGAUUACCGCCUUGUCCCAUUUUUACUUGAAUACGAAUAGAUCCUCGGAACUUGAAUCAUACUACGUGGGGUUAUGUUGCAGAGCGGAAAGGCUUUGUGAGGUUCCUCCUAAUGUUAAUUUCAAAUAUGGAAGAGACAAAUCCAUUGCGGAUGGCUUUAAUUGAACGGGGUAUUGCAAGCAGCAGAGUAGCCUUGUUGCUAUGAUCUGCUGAGAUUAAGCCCAUUGUUCUAUAGAUUU
rnacentral:ncRNA from 1 species